rnacentral:tRNA from 1 species
GCGGGUGUGGCGGAACUGGCAGACGCGCCGGACUUAGGAUCCGGUGCCCGUAAGGGCGUGAGGGUUCGACUCCCUCCACCCGCACCA